rnacentral:rRNA from 1 species
AGCGAACGCUGGCGGCAGGCCUAACACAUGCAAGUCGAACGAACUCUUCGGAGUUAGUGGCGGACGGGUGAGUAACACGUGGGAACGUGCCUUUUGGUUCGGAAUAACUCAGGGAAACUUGUGCUAAUACCGAAUGUGCCCUUCGGGGGAAAGAUUUAUCGCCAUUAGAGCGGCCCGCGUCUGAUUAGCUAGUUGGUGAGGUAACGGCUCACCAAGGCGACGAUCAGUAGCUGGUCUGAGAGGAUGACCAGCCACACUGGGACUGAGACACGGCCCAGAAUCCUACGGGAGGCAGGAGUGGGGAAUCUUGCGAAAUGGGCGAAAGCCUGACGCAGCCAUGACGCGUGAAUGAUGAAGGUCUUAGGAUUGUACAAUUCUUUCACCGGGGACGAUAAUGACGGUACCCGGAGAAGAAGCCCCGGCUAACUUCGUG